rnacentral:lncRNA from 1 species
CCAUGUUGUAUAUUGGUGAUGGAGUUUUAUUUUGGUCCACAUGGACAUCUAUUUUACUCUUAGGUUGAGUGUUGUUCCGUGACAGAUAAUGACGCUCGACUUAAAUGUUUAAUGCUGUGAUAAGUUAUAUUGCAUAAUGAAGGAGAAAUAUAAAUUUAAAUUUUAAAGUCAUUAUUGUACAAGCCCAAUUUUUAGCCCAAAACCCAAUUAACCCAAGAACCCAAAAUAAUCACAUACCAGCAAAACCCUCUACCCAAUACAACCCAAAAACCCCACCUAAACCUAACCCAGCUACCAGCCCAAUUACAAUUAACCUAACCCAGACCCGAAGCCCACUUAGCCCAGGCCCGAUUUCAGUCUCUGAAACCCUAGGCGCCGCCCCUUGACUUUUGGCUUCCUGCCAUCGCCGCCACCGCCGUUGGACGUCCCAUCCGCGUCCAUCACGUCGGCCUCCCCCCACUUGCGCCGUCACCUGCAAAAGAAACAAAACGAAGGAAAGAGGGCAAUAGAAACAGUGGCAUUCGGCUAUAAAAGCCAAGAAAAAUGUAUUUUGAAGCUCUUGGCUUCCUAUUUUGUAACCAAAAAGUAACAGACAUUAGCAAAAUAAAUAAAAAAACAAGAGAAAUAUUAAGAGGUGAUUUUCGUUCUCCCGUUUUCAGAUUUUUUUUUUUAUUUUNNNNNNNNNNNNNNNNNNNNNNNNNNNNNNNNNNNNNNNNNNNNNNNNNNNNNNNNNNNNNNNNNNNNNNNNNNNNNNNNNNNNNNNNNNNNNNNNNNNNCAAACAAAGAAACGAUUUAAAAGGGAAAGAAAAAGAAAGGAGUACUUGAGCCGUUCCGUUUGCGCCGUCGCCGGAGUUCAUUUUUGGGUUACCGAAAUCGGACCAUGAAGGCGACGUUUGGGGCUUCGCUCCUUGGCCCUACGGCUCUAAAGCCCGAUCAUUAGUCGGUCCCUGAAACGGGGUUAAAAAACCGACCUUUUGGAAACUCCGACCACCGCAUGUGGCGGGGUCAUUGGUGGCCCGUUCGGCCAAAGGAAAAGGAGGGCUGAGGGUUUCUUUUUUUUUUCUCUGAAGUUUUUUUUUAAGCAAUGAAAGAAUGAGUUUUUAGAAAAAAAUUGUUUUAAAUAAGAUUUUCAAAACGGCGCCGUUUGGGCUUAGUUUUCAGAGACCAAAACGGCGUCGUUUUGGUCUCUCACCCGCGCGGUGACCCGACCCGGGGAGGAUCCGCGUGUUUUUGACUCUUGGGUAAUUUGCGCAUUUAGUCCCUUUGAUUUUGUGGAACUUUCAAGGAGGUUUUUCCCAUAUUUGCAAUUUUUGCCUCAAAUUUUCGCGUUUUCCUCGAUUUGGUCCCUGGACCAUGUGCAUGCGUUGCACUGGAACGGUGUCGUUUGAAUGACAGAGGGAUAUUUAUCAGUUUAGUCCCCCUUUAUUUCUCGCGCAUCACAACUUGAUCCCUUACCUUAUUUUAUUUUUAAUUUCGGCCCUGAGAUUUUGUUUCAGUUUUAAUCUAGUCUUAUUGUUAUUAUUAUUAUUAUUUAUAUUAUUGUUACUUAUCAUGUUGUUAUUAUGUAAUAGAUUAUAUAUAUAUAUAUAUAUAUACAUGUAUCUACAUUUUUAACUUAUUUAAUUCAUACAUAAAUACUUUUUUUUUUNNNNNNNNNNNNNNNNNNNNNNNNNNNNNNNNNNNNNNNNNNNNNNNNNNNNNNNNNNNNNNNNNNNNNNNNNNNNNNNNNNNNNNNNNNNNNNNNNNNNCGUAUGUAUAUCUAUAUACUUUUCUUCCACAAAUAUGUGUAUACUUAUUUAUAUAUAUAUAUUUUUAUAUAUUAAAAUAUGUAUAUUUAUAUAUAUACAUUAUAUAUUUUAUCUUACCUUUUUUAUAUAAUCCACAUAUAUAGUUCCCUUAUAUGUACACACACAUGUUCAUAUUUUAUAAUUUUCAUACAUUUUCCUUUAUUUUUAUGUUCAUUUAUGUAUUUAUUUAUAUGCCCAUUUUUAUGCUUUAGUUUAUUUAUUUAUUUAUUUGCUAUGGUAUAUGCAUGAUUGAUUUAUUUCAUUAUUCGUUUUUGUUCAUUUUUUUAUUUACAUAAUCAUGUUUAUUAUUCCAUCAUGCACAUAAAUAUCAUAUUUCAAAAAAAAAGGAAAAUAUUUCAAAUUAAGGCAAUAUUUAGCGUUUGGAAAUUCGAGGAACGUGCCCUAAGGUACUGGGUUUCGAUUUCUCGUUCGACCAAAUAGCUAAAUAUCCUUUUAAAAACUUUUCAAAAAUAAGGCAAUAUUUUGCGUUUGGAAAUUCGAGGAACGUGCCCUAAGGUACUAGGUUUCGACUUCACGUUCCACCAAAUGACUUAAUAUCCUUUUCAAAAAUUUUCAAAAUAAGUCAAUAUUUAGCGUUUGGAAAUUCGAGGAACGUGCCCUAAGGUACUGGGUUUCGAUUUCUCGUUCGACCAAAUAGCUAAAUAUCUUUUUAAAAACUUUUCAAAAAUAAGGCAAUGUUUUGCGUUUGGAAAUUCGAGAAACGUGCCCUAAGGUGCUGGGUUUCGAUUUCACGUUUAACCAAAUUGCCAAAUUUCCUCUUGAAUUUUAAUCCAUGCCAUUCGAGUUUUUUUUUAAGGAUCGUAUUUUAAAUUUCUUUAAAGUUUUCAAUCUUCGACACUAAGACAUUAAGUAAUCAACUAGGUACCAAUUUUGGGCGUAUCGAGGGUGCUAAUCCUUCCUCGUGCGUAACCGACUCCCGAACCCGUUUUUCUGAAUUUCGUGGUCCAAACUUGUUGUUUUAAUAAAAUCAAAUCUUUUAUUAAAAACAACCACUUUUCGAGGUGAUCCAAUCACACCUUAUCAAAAAGGAUUGGUGGCGACUCCCGUUUUCGUUUUCAUUUUCAAAAACCUAAGUCGACCCCGUUUUCCAUCAAAAAAAAUGGUGUCAACAGUUUGGCGACUCCACUGGGGAAAUAAAAUAAGUGGGUCAAGCCACGGGUUGAAUAUUUCUUAUCUUUUUGUCGAAAGUUGAAAUUUGAUUUAAAUAUACGAUCCUCUGAUUGCAUUUCAUUUGUUUUGAGUUAUAGUUUUUAUAAUGUUUUGUAUUUCAAAUUUCUAUAUAUCUCUGCACAUUGCAUUGCAUGACCGUUGGUCACACCUUUUAAGUGGGAGUGAGAAGCUACUCCUUCGUGAGGUUUUCACCUCCGUGCAGGAUAGUGGAUCGCUUUCGGGAUACAUCCGUACCUAUGUCUUCGUGAGAUUUUCAUCUCCGUGCAGCCAUAGGGAAAUGUAUUCCCCUGAACCGAAUAUGAACCUAUAAUGGGUGAAGAUCGAGGAAUCUGCUGGUUCGGGUACCUUAUCUUUAGAACCAACCCUCAUAUAGUGGACUUAGGAACUUAACCUAGGUAGAGCCACUCCAAAUCCCAAGUAUUUACCUGAUUAGGUACUUUUUGUUUUCUGCGCUUGCUUAUGUUUCGUUCUGACCCCUCUUGUUGUGUUUUGAUUAUGAUUGCAUUACAUUGCAUUUGCAUAUUAGGAAAGAGAUAUUGAUUCAAGUCCGAUUACUAAAUUAGAAAGCUUGUCAUGGAAUACGGAUUCCUUGAUAAAGUGGAAAACAAUACGACUUCCCGAAUAUAUUCUGAGAAACACAAGAAUGGCGAUGGAAAAGUUCGUGACCCUGCUUCGUAGCCUGAGGAUUCAAGGCAAUUGUCUAAGAGCCUUCAACAUUCCACCCCCUUAAAGAGGCGGACGAGCUUUAUGAAGAUGGGCAGAUGAUGGAUCGCGACCAAGAUCAAGAAAAUGAGCUAGCAAUGGCAUCUAUUGGAGAGAUUACCUCAAACAUGCGGAUGAAGAAAAACCGAUGUUGUUUCUUGGAAUAUGAGGGUGAGGUCGUACAUGUAUCCGUUUUAUGUAAGGGAAUUAUUUCCUAGAAAAGUUUCCUAAAUGUAAUUGAAUCAGAAUCAACGUCUCUUUAGGCAUUCAUUUCAUGCAUUUGCAUUACAUUGUAUCAUAUGCAUUAGAUUUUCAUGAAGUGACCCUAAUUAGGUAAAAUUAUUUCAGAAAGUCUGGAAAACCAACAUUUUUGCGGUACCUGAAUAUAGACUAAAGGAAUGGAACGAAGGUUGGAAAAAUUAGAGCGAAUGCAGAUUCAGAUGCAGGAGCAAUUGACUGAAUUUCAACAGGAGAUGAGAGAUUAGAUUCUAGGAUUACAGAGAACCAUGAUAAGUCAGUUCAACCGAUUGCUAGCUGGAGAAAAAAGGAAGGACCCGAUGGACCACUCAGGGGUUGAUAAUGAGGAUUUUGCUUAUUCCCUAGAUUGUACUCCGAUAAGUACACAGAUCCAGCCAGAUGGGCGUUCACAUGGGGCACCCUUUACUAUCAGAUCACAACGGUAUCAGACUGGCACAGCAACACCAGUGGGUUGCUUGACGGACCCAAGGUCCAAAGUGAGGAACAAUUUUUCUGUUGCUCUCGACAACCUGGCUGAAACAAAACAGGCGAGGGUGGAAUACCUAAGUACCACAAAGGCCCCAAGGAAGGAGGGGAAUAAAUGGGAUAAUGCGGGCAGGUAUAACAAGGGCCACUCAAAACCAAUCACUGCGGGCCGACCAAAGACAGAAACCACCAGCCAUCAGAGGUCUUCAAAGCAAGAAUCUGGAGUGAAGCCAGGUAUUGAGAAGCUCCAGUUCAUACCAAUUCUGAUGUCAUAUAGUGAGUUAUAUCGAAGCUUAUUUGAUGCACAUGUGGUGUCCCCCUUCUACUUAAAACCCAUACAGCCUCCGUAUCCCAAAUGGUAUGACACGAACGUACAAUGCGACUACCAUGCGGGAAUUACGGGACAUUCAAUAGAGAACUACAUUGCCUUCAAGAAAUUGGUUGAAAAACUCAUUAAUAUGGGUGUUGUCAGAUUUGAUGACUCGUCUAGCGCAGAAACUCUACUACCUAGUCAUAUUGAUAAUGGGGUAGACAUGAAAGUAGGAAGGGGAUCAGUUAUUUCUGAUUUAGGAGGAAAUAAGGGAAAGACACGGAACCAUUGCGAUUUCCAUCACGAGAGGGGGUUCGAGACCUAAGAGAGUGUGGAAUUCAAGGCCUUGGUUCAGGACAUGAUGGACGAAAAGGGGAUGAAGCUUCGUGAGGAAAUUAAAGAGGAGGAAAACAUACGCUUAAUGUUGGCAAGCGUUCACACCAAUGACAUAUUUGAAGACACGAAUGAAAAGGAACCUUGUUAGAUAUCUGCCCUUAUAAAUCUGGAGUGUUCUAAGCAAUUGGGCUACGGAAGAAAUCCCUUUAGUUUUUAGGGCUUAUCUAGAGUAAUGUUCAGAACAUUUUGUUGUUUUUAGCCUAGAAGCAAUAGAAAUUCCUUUAUGAAAGAGGCUAAUGUCUGAACGUUAUUAUUCUAAUAAAAUACAUCUUUGCAUUCACUUUUGAGCCAAUAUUCUUUCAUUCUUUUUGAAUAAUUAUGUCUGAUUAUUUUUCUUUUGGAUUUUCUUCCACAUCAUUCAUUCAUUCAUAAUCAUAUUGUAUAAAUAAUUAUUCUUAAAUUCAUACAUUCUUUGUAUAUUCUUUUGUACCUACAGUAGGUCCUUGGAUAUCAACGACAUGAAUGACACUGUUACAGACUUAGAAUCUCCUUUUGAGUGAGACAUGUGUUUAGAGGGAUCUCACGCCUUUGAAGAUGACAUAGAUCGUAGCUUAUCUCCAAGCUUAUUGAGGAUGGUAGAACAAGAGGAUAAACAGAUCAUACCUCACAAGGAAUCAUUAAAAAUUGUGAGCGCGGUAAAGAUUAGAAUUGACUUGACCGCAGAGACGAAGCAAAGACAUUGUUGAGUCGCCUCUAGAGUUCAAUGAUGUCUUUGUAUGAUCAUACCAGGAUAUGCUCAGAUUAAUCGCUGAUAAGGAAAUCUGCACAGCAGCACGUUUUCAGAAAUUUGCAGUGAAUGAUGCAAUUCUUUGCCGGGGCAAUGCCUCUCUCGUUGAGUCAACAUAGCUUUGCCCAUUUGAAGUCGAGUUUCCAUCCCUUCAAGAUGUUGUUGGAUUUUAUCCUGAUUAAAGAAGAAGAUCCAAAGUUUUCUAUCGUAGUUGCGUCCCAAAAGGGCUCUAUGAAAGAAAUCUGGUACCAAAGAAGGUUUUUCGCAUACAAGAUGAAAGUGGAAGAUCUUAUGUGGAAGACUUUAGAAUAGCAUUGAUUCUGGUCGAAAAGCAUGACCAGGACUUGCCUGAUCUCAUGAGUUCAGACUCAAAAAAAAAUUCAAAAAUAAAAAAAAUUAAAAAAAAUCAAAAAAAUUAAAAAAUCAAAAAAUAAAAAAUCAAAGUCAAAAAUAGGGGAAAAAGAAAGAAGAAAAAAGAAAAAGAAAAAGGAGAGGUCAAGGCGAAAACCCACAAAGGGCGCUUUGACCAAAGGUGGAUCUAAGUUGAAAACCCGAAAAGGGCGACUCAAAUUUUGAGCAAAAUGAGGCAUGGAAUCACCAUUAUCGAAGACUUCUAAUGGGCAUUGCUUCAUUUUGAGAGGCUACUUUAUGAGCUAAAGUCAUCGUAUACCGAUACAGAAUUUCAGAGAAGAGGGUAUUAGAGAAUGCAUUGAGCUUAAACAAUAGCACUAUAGCUGAGGUCGCAAAUUAACUCAGAAGUGGACACCACGAUUCGUCACUGAAGUUCCUAGAGUUGAACAUCGAAAAUUGAAGGAAAAUAACUGAGACUUACAAUGAUUGACGUGAGAAAUUACCAUUUGCCCUAAUUGUUUGUCGAACAUCGGUACUGGGGCAACACUUCUCUUUUUGGUUUACAGGAUUGAGGUAGUUCUACCUAUUAAAAUCCCCUCAUUGCUUGUUAAAGGGAUCCAAUCGCAAUGUGAUCAGUUGGCCCUAGGAAAAGGGUUAAAAGCUAUUCAUCAGGGUCAGAUGUACCAUAAAUAAAUAAUAUGAGCCCAUAAUAAACAUGCUCGUCUCAGAGAAUUCCACAAGAGGGCUGGAUGUUGAAAAAUAUUCUUCCUUAACGAAAGGAUUCUAAAGGGAAAUGAAUGCCAAACUAGGAAAGUCCUUAUGUUGUAAAGAAGACCAUUUUUAGAGGAGCACUGAUCCUGAGUGAGAUUGCUAAUCCUAUAAACUCGGAUCCAGUCAAGAAACACUUUGUUUAAAGAAGAAGGAAGGACCAAGGUGAAAACCUGCAAAAGGGCACUUUGAAUAAAAAAACAAAAAAAAAGAGAUGAAAAAAAUGAAAAAGUAAAAAUGGAGAGGCUAAGGGGAAAACCCGCAAAUGGCAUCUUAGGCCAAAGGGGAUUUGAGUUAAAAACCCGAAAAGGGCGGCUCAAAUAUUGAUCAGAAUGGGGUAUGAAGUGAUUAGAUUGGGGCAUGUGGUGAUCCUGCUAUACCUGAAAGGGUAGGGCGACAUCUUGGGGCAUCGACAGAGUCCUGUAGAUCUCCUAAACACAUGUCAAACUCAGGAAAGUCCUCAGAAAGUUUGUACAGAGAAGUUCAAGCUGCGAUAUCUGGGGCAUCUAACCUUCAUACUAUUUAUUGAAUUUGUUGUUAUUGGAAUACUUCAUUCUUUUUCAAGAUACGUGUUCCAAUCAAUUCCUCUUUUAUUCUUGCUACCCUUGAUAAUUCAUUCAUUUCGAGCUUGCUCUCAAAUCAAUUCUAUUUCAUCCAUCGUUAUAUUCUUUUUUGAACAUGUUGCAUUGGAAUAAUGAUUAAUGGACUAAUAAAACUUUCACAAAGGAAGUUUUGCAUAUUACUCUGAAAAGUUUCUAAAUAAUAUAGGAACCUGAAACAGGAUUAUCGUUUAGAAAACACCAAGUUUAAAGGGUGAAAUAUCUAAGAAGGAAGAGUCUAAGUUAAAGACUAUCCUUUCAGAUUUUGUUGUCUAAACAUUGAUUGAACCAAAUGACAAGAUGUCGUGUUGGUGGCAAAGCUUCAAUGAACCGACAAGCGAUGUUUACCAGGCAAAAAGAAAAGGUCUUCUAGGAGAAGAAAAUUUUUGCAAUUGUGCAUGAGCAUUUGGUAUGACACCUUGGGGAUGAGGUAAAGGACCAAAGAGUUUCACAUUCAAUAUCAUUGAAUUGCGAUAGGAGAAGAUUGAGAAAAGUCAUAUUUCUACCCUUAAAUUACUGUGAGAGAAUGAUGGUACAAAUUUUGAUGUUCCAGUGGAUUGAACUUUGACGUGUACAGUGGGGGGCAAUCAGAUUAAGUGUUUCUUUGGAUAUGCUAGCCGAGCAAGAAGGCGGUGUAGCACGUCAGUGAUAAAGCCUUAAUAAGCUUUUGUGUGAUGAUAACCUAAGCAUUAAGGAAUCAUUUUCAUGACAUUUUGCAUGUCAUUCAUACACAUCUCGUUAGGAGCAUUUGAUUCGUUCUGAUCAUAUCAUCCUAAUCACUAGGCACAAUUAGGUUCAUAAAAUAGAACAUACAGGUCAUGUUCCCCAUAGAACAGAUCAAUGAAGACAUCAGAUCUUGCUUUCCUGUACUGACUGCGAAGCAGAUCAAAGACAACAGAUCUUGCCGUCCUGCCUUGAUAGUGAAGCAGAUCGAAGAUACAAGUUUUGUCUCCAUCGGUUGCGGUGGAACUGGUUGAAGAUAGCAGAUCUGGCCUUCCUGCGUUAACAGCGAAGCAGAUUGAAAACAAAGCCUUGUCUCCAUCGGUUGUAGUAGAGUUGAUUGAAGAAUGUCAGAUCUUAUCUCCCUGAGAUUACAGCAGAGCAGAUCGAAGCUAGUAAUCCUAUCUCCCUGAGAUUACAGUGGAGUGGAUUAAAAUAAAGGAUCUUAUCUCUCUGAAGUUACAGCAGAGAAGAUCGUAUCAGGUCUUAUCUCCCUGAGAUUAUAGCGGAGCAGAUUGAAGUUAGUAAUCCUAUCUCCCUGAGAUUACAGUGGAGCGGAUUAAAACAAAGGAUCUUAUCUCUCUGAAGUUACAGUAGAGUAGAUCGCAUCAGGUUUUACCUCCCUGUGGUUACAGUGGAGAACAUUGAAGCCAGUAAUUCUAUCUCCCCGACGUUGCGGAGUGGGUCGAAGCGCCAAUGCCUAUACCUCUGAAGUUGCAGUUGAAGUUACAAGUCUUAUCUCCCUGACGUUGCAGUAGGACAGACUAAAACCAUGAAUCUCACCCCCCUGAAGUUACAACAGAGUGGAUUGAAGCUACAAGUCUUGUCUUUUUGAAGUUGUAGCGGAAUGGAUCGAAGUGACAAGACACGGUAGACUGGAAUGAAGCUACUUGAAGAAGAAAGGCACCAAGAAGUCAAGACUCGGCGAGACCGGGCAAAAUUGGGCUUUCUUAGUCUUUGCUCUGUUAUCGUUACACGACAACGAGCAAAGAGUGGCAGCUGUACAAGCCCAAUUUUUAGCCCAAAACCCAAUUAACCCAAGAACCCAAAAUAAUCACAUACCAGCAAAACCCUCUACCCAAUACAACCCAAAAACCCCACCUAAACCUAACCCAGCUACCAGCCCAAUUACAAUUAACCUAAACCAGACCCGAAGCCCACUUAGCCCAGGCCCGAUUUCAAAAAAUAUCUGCCUAGGGUUUCAGAGACUGAAACCCUAGGCGCCGCCCCUUGACUUUUGGCUUCCUGCCAUCGCCGUCACCGCCGUUGGACGUCCCAUCCGCGUCCAUCACGUCGGCCUCCCCCCACUUGCGCCGUCACCUGCAAAAGAAACAAAACGAAGAAAAGAGGGCAAUAGAAACAGUGGCAUUCGGCUAUAAAAGCCAAGAAAAAUGUAUUUUGAAGCUCUUGGCUUCCUAUUUUGUAACCAAAAAGUAACAGACAUUAGCAAAAUAAAUAAAAAACAAGAGAAAUAUUAAGAGGUGAUUUUCGUUCUCCCGUUUCAGAUUUUUUUAUUUUUUUCUUUUUUUAUAUACAUCUACAAACAAAGAAACGAUUUAAAAGGGAAAGAAAAAGAAAGGAGUACUUGAGCCGUUCCGUUUGCGCCGUCGCCGGAGUUCAUUUUUAGGUUACCGAAAUCGGACCAUGAAGGCGACGUUUGGGGCUUCGCUCCUUGGCCCUACGGCUCUAAAGCCCGAUCCUUAGUCGGUCCCUGAAACGGGGUUAAAAAACUGACCUUUUGGAACCUCCGACCACCGCAUGUGGCGGGGUCAUUGGUGGCCCGUUCGGCCAAAGGAAAAGGAGGGCUGAGGGUUUCUUUUUUUUUUCUCUGAAGUUUUUUUUUAAGCAAU